GAUGAACGCUGGCGGCGUGCCUAAUACAUGCAAGUCGAGCGAACAGACGAGGAGCUUGCUCCUCUGACGUUAGCGGCGGACGGGUGAGUAACACGUGGAUAACCUACCUAUAAGACUGGGAUAACUUCGGGAAACCGGAGCUAAUACCGGAUAAUAUAUUGAACCGCAUGGUUCAAUAGUGAAAGACGGUUUUGCUGUCACUUAUAGAUGGAUCCGCGCCGCAUUAGCUAGUUGGUAAGGUAACGGCUUACCAAGGCAACGAUGCGUAGCCGACCUGAGAGGGUGAUCGGCCACACUGGAGCUGAGCCACGGUCCAGACUCCUACGGGAGGCAGCAGUAGGGAAUCUUCCGCAAUGGGCGAAAGCUUGACGGAGCAACGCCGCGUGAGUGAUGAAGGUCUUCGGAUCGUAAAACUCUGUUAUUAGGGAAGAACAAAUGUGUAAGUAACUAUGCACGUCUUGACGGUACCUAAUCAGAAAGCCACGGCUAACUACGUG
rnacentral:rRNA from 1 species